CUAAAGAGUAUAAUGUCAAGCAAAAUAAGUCAGUCAGAAAAAGACAAAUGCCAUGUGAUUUCACUCCUAUGUGGAAUUUAAGAAACAAAACAAAUGAGCAAAGGGAAAGAGAGAGAGAGAGAGCACAUCAUGUUAACCGUACUGGAUUUAAAAUAAAAUAAAGAGAAUGUUAGUAUACUAUUGUUUGCAAUAGAAAACGUGGUAAAUGAAGUAUAUUUACAUCACUAGUACUGGAGAAAUAAAUGUUGGGCCAUUCAUGUGAUGCCAAACUGGACUUUAUAAAACAACAACAACAAAAAAGUGAAAUUUUGUUGUAAAGUAAUUGAAAAUGUUAUCACAGAAAUGGGUUUACAUAGAAAUAUGGUAACAAUAUGUGCAAAAACAGGUUACAAGGACUGUAAAGGACACAGAUCCAUUGUUUUGCUUAUAUAGGCAUAUACCUAUUUAUCCAGAAGUCUCAAAGCCUAAAAAUGAAAAUGAUCUUGUUGUUCCAGUCAUGUAGAGCUUUUUAUUCAUCAUAGAAAGAGGCUGCAUUAUCCAUCUGGAUAUCUCAGACAGACACCGUUGGGAAUGUCCUUGUAUCCUUGGGAAUGCCUCCUUUCUACCCAGAUGUCCUGAAAGCUGUCUGCUGGGUUUUGACCACAGCCUCUCCCUCCCACCUUCCUGCUCAGCGAUGUUCAAGCUGCAGUUCAGGCUUGUGUCACGAGGUGGCACCAACGUACUUCCACCGUCAAUUUCUCUGCAAAGAGAAAUUCAUCUUCUAAGAGAAGUCCUGCUUUGUGUCCUCUAGAGAGGGCGAAGGAUGGAACCUCAUUCCCAUCCUGCCAUUUAUUUGGAGAGGCGAUGUAGGUUCUGUGAACCUGAACUUUGCCAUCUGUGAAAUGGGACUCGGGAGGCCAUUGUCACACAGCAAAUUGUCAUUUUGCCCCAAGGGAAAAAUGAGAAAACCUGCUCAGAGUAUAUGGCAUGUGGUGCGACUUCAAGGGCCCUUUAGAAGUUGAGACGUAGUAAGUAGUAGGGACUGGCUGAGGCUGCUCAGGAC
rnacentral:lncRNA from 1 species